UACAGAGGUCCCGAGCGUUGUUCGGAUUCACUGGGCGUAAAGGGUGCGUAGGUGGCCUGAAAAGUUUGAUGUGAAAGCUCAGGGCUUAACCCUGAAAUGGCAUUGAAUACUGUCGGGCUGGAGGUUUGGAGGGGGGACUGGAAUUCUUGGUGUAGCAGUGAAAUGCGUAGAUAUCAAGAGGAACGCCAGUGGCGAAGGCGAGUCCCUGGACAACACCGUGACACUGAGGCACGAAAGCUAGGGGAGCAAACAGG
rnacentral:rRNA from 1 species